CAAAAAACCUCCAGGAGCAGUGGAUUUGUGCAGGCAACGAGCCCCAGCCAUAACCUUGGAGAAAUACGAGUGACCAGGGGCUGACCGGUGAUGUAUCCUGCAGAGUGCACACCUUACAGUGUGCCAGGUGCCCAGCAGCCUCCCACAGAACCUGAUAUUCAGUCCCCACCAGAAGACCUGGCUGUAUGUGCACCUGCUAUGUGACCUGAGGAACGACUGUGAGGACUGUGCGGACAAGUCAGGUAAAGGGAGACCGCUGGGCGUCCGGAGGGCGGCCCUCACCCUUCAGCUCCACACGCUGGCUCAGAACUCGUCUGAAGGAGAUUCCCACUCGUGGAUACACAGGCUAUAGCUGGAAUGUCAGAGCAGUGCCCGAGUAUCCGGGCUGGAGAUGUGGUACUGUUUUCUUUGCUGACUGCCUGCAGCCCCAGAAGUCGCUGCAAGAACGGUGUUCAGGACUGUGCUGAUUGGAGUGAUGAAAAUAUCUGUGAAUAGAAGGCUUGUCUGAUCACUGCUCCGGAAAAGCUGAAAACUGUUCUUUGUUACUGUAAUACAGAAAAAAGGGGGGGGGUGGAGGAAAAGGAGAAAAAGGCGUGCAUGCAUCUUAUGGGGCAGGGGUCUAACACAGGCACCCGGUGUUAUGGGGUGGAGAAAUACUAGUGGGAGCCAGACCAAACUUUUAGUGGUUUCCAGUCCAUUUCUGGACUCACCUACAAAAUGUAAAAGGUAAUUUUCUGUCCUGUGCAUCAGAGUUGUUAGGAGGGUAAC